AACGAACGCUGGCGGCAGGCUUAACACAUGCAAGUCGAACGCCCCGCAAGGGGAGUGGCAGACGGGUGAGUAACACGUGGGAACAUGCCCAAAGGUACGGAAUAUUCUCGGGAAACUGGGAGCAAUACCGUAUGUGCCCGAAAGGGGAAAGAUUUAUCGCCUUUGGAUUGGCCCGCGUUGGAUUAGCUAGUUGGUGGGGUAAAAGCCUACCAAGGCGACGAUCCAUAGCUGGUCUGAGAGGACGACCAGCCACACUGGGACUGAGACACGGCCCAGACUCCUACGGGAGGCAGCAGUGGGGAAUCUUGGACAAUGGGCGCAAGCCUGAUCCAGCCAUGCCGCGUGAGUGAUGAAGGCCCUAGGGUUGUAAAACUCUUUCGUGGGGGACGAUAAUGACGGUACCCCAAGAGGAAGCCACGGCUAACUACGUGCCAGCCGCCGCGGUAA
rnacentral:rRNA from 1 species